GUUUUGCGUGAGCGAUAAUAGCGGCAUCCUUUUUUAUGUUUUGAAAACGUAAAAAAGAUAUAGCGGAUAGCGCGGCCGUUA
rnacentral:sRNA from 1 species